rnacentral:rRNA from 1 species
GUAGCAUAUCAAUAAGCGGAGGAAAAGAAACUAACAAGGAUUCCCCUAGUAACUGCGAGUGAAGCGGGAAAAGCUCAAAUUUAAAAUCUGGCGGUCUUUGGCCGUCCGAGUUGUAGUCUGGAGAAGUGCUUUCCGCGCUGGACCGUGUAUAAGUCUCUUGGAACAGAGCGUCAUAGAGGGUGAGAAUCCCGUCUUUGACACGGACUACCAGUGCUUUGUGAUGCGCUCUCAAAGAGUCGAGUUGUUUGGGAAUGCAGCUCAAAAUGGGUGGUGAAUUCCAUCUAAAGCUAAAUAUUGGCGAGAGACCGAUAGCGAACAAGUACCGUGAGGGAAAGAUGAAAAGCACUUUGGAAAGAGAGUUAAACAGUACGUGAAAUUGCUGAAAGGGAAACGCUUGAAGUCAGUCGCGUUGUCCGGAACUCAGCCUUGCUUUUGCUUGGUGCACUUUCCGGAUGACGGGUCAGCAUCGAUUUUGACCGUCGGAAAAGGGCUGGAGUAAUGUGGCACCUCCGGGUGUGUUAUAGACUCUGGUCGCAUACGGCGGUUGGGAUCGAGGAACGCAGCGCGCCGCAAGGCAGGGGUUCGCCCACUUUCGCGCUUAGGAUGCUGGCAUAAUGGCUUUAAACGACCCGUCUUGAAACACGGACCAAGGAGUCUAACAUACCUGCGAGUGUUUGGGUGGAAAACCCGAGCGCGUAAUGAAAGUGAAAGUUGAGAUCCCUGUCGUGGGGAGCAUCGACGCCCGGACCAGACGUUCUCUGACGGAUCCGCGGUAGAGCAUGUAUGUUGGGACCCGAAAGAUGGUGAACUAUGCCUGAAUAGGGUGAAGCCAGAGGAAACUCUGGUGGAGGCUCGUAGCGAUUCUGACGUGCAAAUCGAUCGUCAAAUUUGGGUAUAGGGGCGAAAGACUAAUCGAACCAUCUAGUAGCUGGUUCCUGCGACCCCCUUCCCCCCGAAGUAGAAAA